CGUUCGAUCUCAAAUCAGGUAGGACUACCCGCUGAACUUAA
rnacentral:rRNA from 3 species